CAGUUCGAUAAAGGCUACUCUUACAAUAUCCGUCAUAGCUUCGGAAAGGAAGGCAAGAGAACUGACUAUACGCCUUUUAGUUGCAUGAAGAUUAUUCUAACCAAUCCACCAGGCCAAGGGGAUUAUCAUGGGUGCCCAUUCCGUCACAGUGAUCCAGAGCUGCUGAAGCAGAAGUUGCAGUCCUACAAGAUCUCCCCCGAAGGGAUAAGCCAGAUUUUGCAUUUAGUAUA